rnacentral:rRNA from 1 species
GACGAACGCUGGCGGCGUGCUUAACACAUGCAAGUCGAACGAGACGAUUGAAAGCUUGCUUUCGAAGGUCGAGUGGCAAACGGGUGAGUAACGCGUAGACAACCUGCCUUUGAGAUGGGGACAACAGUUCGAAAGGACUGCUAAUACCGAAUGUUGUAUAUUUUCCACAUGGAAGAUAUAUUAAAGAUGGCCUCUAUUUAUAAGCUAUCGCUCAAAGAUGGGUCUGCGUCUGAUUAGCUAGUUGGUGGGGUAACGGCCUACCAAGGCGACGAUCAGUAGCCGGUCUGAGAGGAUGAACGGCCACAUUGGGACUGAGACACGGCCCAGACUCCUACGGGAGGCAGCAGUGGGGAAUCUUCCACAAUGGACGAAAGUCUGAUGGAGCAACGCCGCGUGAGUGAAGAAGGGUUUCGGCUCGUAAAGCUCUGUUGUCGGGGACGAAUGUGCAGUAUUUGAAUAAAGUACUGCAAUGACGGUACCUGACGAGGAAGCCACGGCUAACUACGUGCCAGCCGCCGCAGUAAUAC